GACGAACGCUGGCGGCGUGCCUAAUACAUGCAAGUAGAACGCUGAAGGAGGUGCUUGCUUCUCUGGAUGAGUUGCGAACGGGUGAGUAACGCGUAGGUAACCUGCCUGGUAGCGGGGGAUAACUAUUGGAAACGAUAGCUAAUACCGCAUAAUAGUAGAUGUUGCAUGACAUUUGCUUAAAAGGUGCAAUUGCAUCACUACCAGAUGGACCUGCGUUGUAUUAGCUAGUUGGUGGGGUAACGGCUCACCAAGGCGACGAUACAUAGCCGACCUGAGAGGGUGAUCGGCCACACUGGGACUGAGACACGGCCCAGACUCCUACGGGAGGCAGCAGUAGGGAAUCUUCGGCAAUGGACGGAAGUCUGACCGAGCAACGCCGCGUGAGUGAAGAAGGUUUUCGGAUCGUAAAGCUCUGUUGUAAGAGAAGAACGAGUGUGAGAGUGGAAAGUUCACACUGUGACGGUAUCUUACCAGAAAGGGACGGCUAACUACGUG
rnacentral:rRNA from 1 species